UACGUAGGGCGCAAGCGUUGUCCGGAAUUAUUGGGCGUAAAGAGCUCGUAGGUGGCUUGUCGCGUUUGCCGUGAAAGCCCAUGGCUUAACUGUGGGUCUGCGGUGGAUACGGGCUGGCUAGAGGUAGGUAGGGGCAAGCGGAAUUCCUGGUGUAGCGGUGAAAUGCGCAGAUAUCAGGAGGAACACCCGUGGCGAAGGCGGCAUCUGCGGUC
rnacentral:rRNA from 1 species